UUUUGUUUUAUUAAUAUUUGUUUUUUAAUUUAGGUUAUUUAAUAAAAGCAAUUUUAUUUAUUUAUUGUUUCAGUAUAUUUUUUAGAAAAGAUAUUUUUAUUUAUAUAUUACUAGUAAUGUAAAUGGAUUAAUUAACAUAUUUAUAAGUAAAUUUUUAUUAUUGUACCUUUUGUAUCAGGGUGAAUUAAAAUGGAAUUAUUUAUAUGUGGUGGUCUCGAAUUUAACUGAGUUAAUAAUAUUAUUUUAGUUAAUGUUGAAUAAUUAUUAAUAAUAUUUAUUGGAAGUGAUAUGUUAUUCGGUUUUAAUGAUAUCUAGUUUUCUAAGAAUUAAGUUUAAUUUAUUCAGUAGUUUUAUUAAUUAAUAUUUAUUUUUAUUUAUGAUUAUUGAGAAAUUUUUUAGGGGUUAAGCUCUAUAAUUAAUUCUUUAAAAAUGAUUUUAUUGUUAAAUUAGUAGGCUUUAAAGCAGCUAUCUCUAAUGAUUACGUUUUAGUUCAUUAACUUUUAUAAUGAUUUUUUUUAUUUAAGAUUUUUUAUUAGAAUUAUUAUAUUAAUAUUUAAUAUGAUGUAAUAAUGAUUUAAUUAGUAUAAAUUUAUAUAUAAUAUUUGAUUUUUGAUAAUUUUUUAUAAGGAAUUAGGCAAGAUUAUAUCCUCGCCUGUUUAUCAAAAACAUGUCUUAUUUGAUAAUAAUUUUAAGUCUGAUCUGCUCACUGAAAUAAAUUUAAAUAGCCGCGGUAUUUUGACCGUGCAAAGGUAGCAUAAUCAUUAGUUUUUUAAUUAAAAGCUGGAAUGAAUGAUUUGACGAGGGGUAUACUGUCUACAUUUAAAUUAAUAAAAUUUAACUUUUUAGUUAAAAGGCUAACAUAAAAAUUAAAGACGAGAAGACCCUAUAGAGUUUAAGUAAUUAAAGCUUAAUUAAUUUUUAAUGUUUAUAUAAAAUAUAUAUCUUAUUUUAUUUUGGUUGGGGUGACUGGGAAAGUAAUUAAGCUUUCUUUUUUAAUUUCAUUUGUUUAUGAAUUUUUUUGAUCCAAAUUUGUUUGAUUAAAAGAUCAAAUUACCUUAGGGAUAACAGCGUAAUUGGUCUUGAAAGUUCUUAUUGAAGGACUAGAUUGCGACCUCGAUGUUGGAUUAAGAUAAAGUUGUGGUGCAGAAAUUACAAUAUAAGGUCUGUUCGACCUUUAAAUUCUUACAUGAUCUGAGUUCAGACCGGUUUAAGCCAGGUCGGUUUCUAUCUUAAUUUGAUAUAAUUAUAUUAGUACGAAAGGAUUAUAUAAUUUUGAUAAUCUUUAAAUAUUUGACUUAAAUUAGU
rnacentral:rRNA from 1 species